AUGGUGUCUGACGCAGCUGGUUCGGCCACCCCUCCGGGGCGGCCGAGGCAAGAGGGAACCCGGUGGGAAUCCGGGACUGCCCCGCAGCGGUGAGUGGGAACGACCGCCGUCAUCAGCACUGGACCCCCUGUGGUCUGGGAAGCGACGGCCAGUAGGAGACCGGUUCCGGCCGGUCGCGCCCGCGAGUCCGAAGACCUGCCAGCGCGUCGUACGCCCG
rnacentral:ncRNA from 1 species